ACGGGAGGCAGCAGUGAGGAAUAUUGGUCAAUGGGCGGAAGCCUGAACCAGCCAAGUCGCGUGAAGGAUGAAGGUAUUAUGUAUUGUAAACUUCUUUAGCCAGGGGGCAAUAAGGCGUACGCGUACGCCGAUGAGAGUACCUGGAGAAUAAGGAUCGGCUAACUCCGUGCCAGCAGCCGCGGUAAUACGGAGGAUCCGAGCGUUAUCCGGAUUUAUUGGGUUUAAAGGGUGCGCAGGCGGUCGAUUAAGUCAGUGGUCAAAUCACGGUGCUCAACGCCGUUCCGCCAUUGAUACUGGUUGACUUGAUUCCGGUCGAGGCAGGCGGAAUUCGUAGUGUAGCGGUGAAAUGCAUAGAUAUUACGAAGAACUCCGAUUGCGUAGGCAGCUUACCAGGCCGGCAAUGACGCUCAUGCACGAAAGUGCGGGGAUCGAACAGGAUUAGAUACCCUGGUA
rnacentral:rRNA from 1 species